rnacentral:misc_RNA from 1 species
UUGAUUGAUUGGUAUUCAAUACUCGACGCAAAGAUGCAGGGUUGAUGGGCCCUCUGGGGGACUCCCGGCCGCGGACGUCCGGGUCGCCCCCCGAGGCAACAGAUACGAAUCGACAAAGGGUUGGAGGUCGGGCGCGAAGGGCCCUCACUCGGUAAUGAUCCCUCCGCAGGUUCACCUACGGAGA